rnacentral:rRNA from 1 species
GACGAACGCUGGCGGCGUGCUUAACACAUGCCAGUCGAACGGACAGGCCCUGCUUUUGUGGGGUGCUCGAUUGGCGCACGGGUGAGUAACACGUGUGUAUCCUGCCCUUGUCUUUGGGAUAACUUCUGGAAACUGGGGCUCAUACCCGAUAGGAGCUCCUGCUGCAUGGUGUGGGUUGGAAAGUUUCGGCGGUUGGGGCUGGACUCGCGGCUUAUCCGCUUGUUGGUGUGGUAGUGGCUUACCAAGGCUGUGACGGGUAGCCGGCCUGAGAGGGGGACCGGCCACAAGGGGACUGAGAUACGGCCCAGAAGCCAACGUGAGGCAGCAGGGGGGAAUAUGGCAGAAUAGGCGGAAGCCUGAUGCAGCAACGCCGCGUGCGGGAUGACGGCUUACGGGGGGUAAACCGCUGUCGCAGGUGACGAAGCGUGAGUGACGGUAAUGGGUAAAGAAGCAACGGCUAACUACGUG